rnacentral:rRNA from 1 species
GACGAACGCUGGCGGCGUGCUUAACACAUGCAAGUCGAACGGAAAGGCCCUGCUUUUGUGGGGUGCUCGAGUGGCGAACGGGUGAGUAACACUUGAGUAACCUGCCCUUGACUUUGGGAUAACUUCAUGAAACUGGGGCUAAUACCGGAUAGGAGCUCCUGCUGCAUGGUGGGGGUGGGAAAGUUUCGGCGGUUGGGGAUGGACUCGCGGCUUAUCAGCUUGUUGGUGGGGUAGUGGCUUACCAAGGCUUUGACGGGUAGCCGGCCUGAGAGGGUGACCGGCCACAUUGGGACUGAGAUACGGCCCAGACUCCUACGGGAGGCAGCAGUGGGGAAUAUUGCACAAUGGGCGGAAGCCUGAUGCAGCAACGCCGCGUGCGGGAUGACGGCAUUCGGGUUGUAAACCGAUUUCGCCUGUGACGAAGCGUGAGUGACGGUAAUGGGUAAAGAAGCACCGGCUAACUACGUG